GACGAACGCUGGCGGCGUGCCUAAUACAUGCAAGUAGAACGCUGAAGACUUUAGCUUGCUAAAGUUGGAAGAGUUGCGAACGGGUGAGUAACGCGUAGGUAACCUGCCUACUAGCGGGGGAUAACUAUUGGAAACGAUAGCUAAUACCGCAUAACAGCAUUUAACCCAUGUUAGAUGCUUGAAAGGAGCAAUUGCUUCACUAGUAGAUGGACCUGCGUUGUAUUAGCUAGUUGGUGAGGUAACGGCUCACCAAGGCGACGAUACAUAGCCGACCUGAGAGGGUGAUCGGCCACACUGGGACUGAGACACGGCCCAGACUCCUACGGGAGGCAGCAGUAGGGAAUCUUCGGCAAUGGGGGCAACCCUGACCGAGCAACGCCGCGUGAGUGAAGAAGGUUUUCGGAUCGUAAAGCUCUGUUGUAAGAGAAGAACGUGUGUGAGAGUGGAAAGUUCACACAGUGACGGUAACUUACCAGAAAGGGACGGCUAACUACGUGCCAGCAGCCGCGGUAAUACGUAGGUCCCGAGCGUUGUCCGGAUUUAUUGGGCGUAAAGCGAGCGCAGGCGGUUUAAUAAGUCUGAAGUUAAAGGCAGUGGCUUAACCAUUGUUCGCUUUGGAAACUGUUAGACUUGAGUGCAGAAGGGGAGAGUGGAAUUCCAUGUGUAGCGGUGAAAUGCGUAGAUAUAUGGAGGAACACCGGUGGCGAAAGCGGCUCUCUGGUCUGUAACUGACGCUGAGGCUCGAAAGCGUGGGGAGCAAACAGGAUUAGAUACCCUGGUAGUCCACGCCGUAAACGAUGAGUGCUAGGUGUUAGGCCCUUUCCGGGGCUUAGUGCCGCAGCUAACGCAUUAAGCACUCCGCCUGGGGAGUACGACCGCAAGGUUG
rnacentral:rRNA from 1 species